GACGAACGCUGGCGGCGUGCCUAAUACAUGCAAGUAGAACGGAGUUGCGAACGGGUGAGUAACGCGUAGGUAAAUGGCUCAUAGGGGGGGAUAAAUAUUGGAAACGAUAGCUAAUACCGCAUACAGUGAGAUGGACGUGCGUUGUAUUAGCUAGGUGGUGAGGUAAAGGCUCACCAAGGCGACGAUACAUAGCCUACCUGAGAGGGUGAUCCGACACCCUUGGACUGAGACCCGGCUCCGACCCCCACGGGAGGCAGCCGUUGGGAAUCUUCGGCAAUGGACGGCAGUCUGACCGAGCCACGCCGCGUGAUUGAAGAAGGUCUUCCGAUCUUUAAGCUCUGUUCUUAGAGAAGCGGUACCUACCCAGAAAGCGCCGGCUAACUACGUGCCAGCAGCCGCGGUAAUAC
rnacentral:rRNA from 1 species